rnacentral:pre_miRNA from 1 species
AUAAUACUCCCUCCGUUCAGAAUUACUUGUCACACAAAUGGAUGUAUCUACAACUAAAAUACAUCUAGAUACAUUCAUUUCUUGGACGAGUAAUUCCGAACGGAGGGAGUACAUC